ensembl:lncRNA
AAGUAUACUUUUUUCCUUUUUUCUAUGGGUCUUUUACAUCGAAUGAAUUAAAUUGUGUAAUUUAAACUCUUUACUCAAAAUGUGUUUGAUGAAAAGCAAGGCAAGAAAUGAAACCAAACUUCUUCCUGGUGAGUCACUUUUUCUGGCAGAGACACAAAGGUUGAUGAUUCAAAUCCUGUGUUUUCAUGACCUCACUGAGAUCAACAAAUGCAAAUAGCUGCAUAUCCCCUGAUGAUGCUUGCAGAUAUACUUGAGUUUUGAUUUGUUCUGUCCCUGUGUCACGGUCCCGGGUUUGGAUCCACAGUUUUCAAUUACAAACUUUAAAUUCUUGUCUUUAUUUAACAUUCUGGUUCUCAGUCUCAUUGUUCAUUAAUCUUUGAGUAUUUGUUUCAGUGUUUGGCUGCUUUCAGCAGGUUCAACUUUUAUUUUGUAGUGUCUUGUUGUUUCCUUAUUCUUCUGUGUGUCCGGUCUGUCAGUUUUGUAUCUUUGAGUCUUUUGUCUCCAAUAGUUACUUCCUGUUUUAUUUUGAUAGUCGUUUGUCACUGUGCUUUAUUUUGUGUUCUACUUCUCUUGUCUCAUCAUCCCUGAUUUGUUCCUGCUCCACCUGUUUCCUCUUACCUCUCUACCUUUUGUGUUUAUUGUCUCAGUUUCCCAUCAUUCCUUGUUGGGCAUGUGUUUCCUGGUGUUUUCUCUCCCUAAGUUCCAAUAGUAUUAUUCCUUAAACCUCCUGGUUUUGGGUUUUGUUUCUUGUGUUUUUUGGACUGUUUUUUUUUUUUUUUUAAACUAAACAGUAGUCAGCCCUGCGACAGACUGGCGACUUGUCCAGGGUAGCGCUGUACCUUGCACUAUUUUAUCAACUGAUUCACACUAUAACCAGGGUUUGCCUCUUAUCUGUAUUUUAAUUUUAUUACAGUACAGUACUCAGUUUUUGGUAACCAUUGUCCUUCAUGUAAAUAUGUAAAAAUUGUGUAUGUUUCUGCUCUGUGUCUUGUGUACUGUUCGUUUGUAUAUGUGUCUUUCUCGCUGCUGUUACACCCAAAUUUCCCCUUGUGGGACAAUUAAAGGAUUAUUCUAUUCAAUUCUACCCUGCCUCCCGCCCUGAGACAGCUGGGAUAGGCUCCAGCGCCCCCCCCCCCCAGCCCCCCCCCCCCGAAAAGGAUAAGCCUAAGCAAAUAGAUGGAUGGACUAAACAGUAUUAAAGACUCGCUUUAUGUUCACCUCCAUCUCUUGCAUUCUGUAUUUGCAUCAGCAGACUACAAACUUCAUUCAACAGACACCUGAUCGUGACAACUUUAUGUAUUUAUUGCCACAUUUGGCAGAUUUUACAGACUCAGCUAGCGAAAAGAAAACGACUUUAGGCUAUAAAAACUGUAGUUUGUGACACUGACUUUCGCUACAAAUAACAAUAAAAUGAAUAAGCAUAAAUGAAUGAAACUUCCUGUUUGAUGAAAGCUGGAAGUUUUCUGUUAAUUCUGGUUAAAACACAAUAAAUAUCAGGUGUACUCACCAAUAAUCAGAUUCAGGUCAGAUGCUGGGAAAUAAAAUAUGAACUCAGUUGGAUUUUCUUCAGAGAGAAG